GGACGAACGCUGGCGGCGUGCUUAACACAUGCAAGUCGAACGGGGUGUUUAUUUCGGUAAACACCAAGUGGCGAACGGGUGAGUAACGCGUAAGCAAUCUACCUUCAAGAUGGGGACAACACUUCGAAAGGGGUGCUAAUACCGAAUGAAUGUAAGAGUAUCGCAUGAGACACUUACUAAAGGAGGCCUCUGAAAAUGCUUCCGCUUGAAGAUGAGCUUGCGUCUGAUUAGCUAGUUGGUGAGGGUAAAGGCCCACCAAGGCGACGAUCAGUAGCCGGUCUGAGAGGAUGAACGGCCACAUUGGGACUGAGACACGGCCCAGACUCCUACGGGAGGCAGCAGUGGGGAAUCUUCCGCAAUGGGCGAAAGCCUGACCCAGCAACGCCGCGUGAAGGAAGAAGGCCUUCGGGUUGUAAACUUCUUUUAAGAGGGACGAAGAAGUGACGGUACCUCUUGAAUAAGCCACGGCUAACUACGUG
rnacentral:rRNA from 1 species